rnacentral:rRNA from 1 species
ACGGGUGAGUAACACGUGAGUAACCUGCCCUCCACUCUGGGAUAACUCCGGGAAACCGGUGCUAAUACUGGAUAUGACUUCCGACCGCAUGGUUGGGGGUGGAAAGAUUUAUCGGUGGUGGAUGGACUCGCGGCCUAUCAGCUUGUUGGUGGGGUAAUGGCCUACCAAGGCGACGACGGGUAGCCGGCCUGAGAGGGUGACCGGCCACACUGGGACUGAGACACGGCCCAGACUCCUACGGGAGGCAGCAGUGGGGAAUAUUGCACAAUGGGCGAAAGCCUGAUGCAGCGACGCCGCGUGCGGGAUGACGGCCUUCGGGUUGUAAACCGCUUUCAGCUCUGACGAAGCUUUUGUGACGGUAGGAGCAGAAGAAGCACCGGCUAACUACGUGCCAGCAGCCGCGGUAAUACGUAGGGUGCGAGCGUUGUCCGGAAUUAUUGGGCGUAAAGAGCUUGUAGGCGGCUUGUCGCGUCUGCUGUGAAAACCCGGGGCUUAACCCCGGGCUUGCAGUGGGUACGGGCAGGCUAGAGUGUGGUAGGGGAGACUGGAAUUCCUGGUGUAGCGGUGGAAUGCGCAGAUAUCAGGAGGAACACCGAUGGCGAAGGCAGGUCUCUGGGCCAUUACUGACGCUGAGAAGCGAAAGCGUGGGGAGCGAACAGGAUUAGAUACCCUGGUAGUCCACGCCGUAAA